rnacentral:rRNA from 1 species
AGGACGAACGCUGGCGGCGUGCCUAACACAUGCAAGUGGAGCGACGAACCAGGCUUCGGCCUGGGGCAGAGCCGCGAACGGGUGAGUAACACGUGGGUAACCUGCCCUGAUGAUUGGGACAACCCGAGGAAACUCGGGCUAAUACCGAAUGUGCCCUCCGGCCUCAAGGCCGCUGGGGAAAGGAGCUUCGGCCUCCGCAUCGGGAUGGGCCCGCGGCCCAUUAGCUUGUUGGUGAGGUAACGGCUCACCAAGGCAACGAUGGGUAGC